AUGUUUUUGCCUGUAGCUACAAUAAUGAUUGUACUAUUGAGGUUCUCCCUGGAAGUUGAUGCAGAACUGUUGGGGUCCCCAAAUGAUGCAGCCAAAAUAUGCUGGAGCAAUAAGGAAAUCUCCGUCGAUAGAACGAGGAUACCUUUGAUUGUUUAUUACCUAAAAUCUUGCGCAGACACAUUGUCCCUCUUGCAUUCACCUUGCAAGAGAGAACUAAGUGCAAUAUUAUCGCGGAAAAUUCAUGAUGCAAUUCCUGCGAUCAACAAGGCAUACUACGAGGGAAACAUUGAUUAUCCUAUUGUCCAUGAUUUGCACAAACUACACGGAAGCAACCAAUGCCUCCGGACUCAAGAGCCGAUGCCGUUGGGCAAGGUGAGGAGAAAGCGAAGCUGGAUAAAAAUUAGAAACCCAAGAUCAGCGCGGAAACCUGUGAUGCCUUUGAUUAUUCGAGCUAAUCAAACGGAAAAGGAGGAGGCAUGUAAUACUUUAAUUGUCUCCCCGAGCUCAGGAAGAAGAAUCAGGAAAAAAGUGCCGCUCCCAUACUUAGACAAUGUUGAAAAUCCGAAAAGAAUCGCUGUCCCAUUUGUCUCCAAGCCACUGUACGAUCUCACCGACUCGGAUGCAAGGAGUUUACUUGUAAAAUAUUACAUAACGGGCGUUAAGUGCCUAUCGUUGUCUUCAGAGCAUAAUCAAGACAUUUUAGUUUUUAACCGUAAUUUUUACGUUUGGCUCCUAAAAUGUGUCCUCCCAAGAAUUGAACAGGACAGUCAACUGUAUCCAGCUUUUGGCGGAGUCUUCAAAAUUCUGGAGACCAUUCAUGAUAAAGGAUUGAUUGAUUUAGAGCGCGAGAUCGAGAGUGAUAUUGGAAAUGAGAUAUGUGUUCAGCCGUCCUUGCUCCACAGAACUGAAAAGCUAGCACACUCGGAGGCAACCUCAAAACGAAGUGGGAAAGUGGCAAUUGCGAGUUCUUCGUUCUGUAUAAUCAUCACUCUAGUUCUGACAACAUUCCUAUUCCUAACUUGGCUCCUUAUUGUUUUCCUCUUUCUUUUCUGUCGGUGCUGUCGCUACCACCAGAUGAAAAGGGACAGUGAGACAGAUGCAAAUAAUAGCUGCUCGAAAGAACAACUUCUUCAGGACGAGUUAACAAUCGAGGACAACUCACAAAUAGGGGCAAAGAUCUGCAAAAACGAGCCAAAGCCGCUUACAAAUGAAAUUCGUCCAGUUUCAACGGAAUUCCAGCCCUUGAUAACAUCAACUCCCGACAGGGAUUUAAAGAGGUGCGCUGAGAGGGGAGCAACCAAAUGCGCAUUUCAGAACAGAUGUCAGAGGAUCACUCCGUUGAGUCCCAUCCCUAGCGAAGAGAGAGAUAAGGAAAAGCCAAAGAACACCGGAUUUUCCAAAUUCUUGGCGCCGAUUAAAAGAGGAAAAGAGGAGCCUUUGGUCUUGACAGACCAGAGGGAUGACAAUAAAGAAUGCAAGCUAGUUUCAGUGAUUACAAACACAGAUGAAAAUCCCUCGCAUAGCUCGAGGAACGACGAAACAUUCCCGUGCUCCAAUGACAUGCCCAAGUGGCAAUGCAGCAAGAGGAAAAGCAAGUGGCAGUGCUCACAAGAGAGGAAGUUGCCUGGAGGAGGCAUGAGUGAAACAACGAUCAAGGUCUUCCCAAAAGACGUCAAGCUCGAUCACGGAUCAACAACGCAGGCAGGGAGCUGUCCAUUCAAACGGAAAAAACAAGGUGCAAAAGCUACGAAGGAGCCUUGUAAAGCGCAACCAGACUGUGCAAAAAAGGGAACUUCAAAUUCCUCCAUCUCAAGAAAACCUUCAACUGGGUCAGUCAAGUCAGACGUGAUCAAUGUUGAUUCCAAUUAUAAGUGCAAGAUUAAAUUUGUCGGCGCACCACCAAAAUGUGAACAAUGUAGUGACAAUUUGUACAAUGAUGUCAUGAACAUGUUAAGUGUCUACAAAGGAGAGUCAACAAUGGAAUCAGCAACAGAUACAUCCGAGGAAUCAGUAACUUCAGAGACAGAGCCAGAGAACCAGGUGACCGAAUCUUCCAAGACCAAAAGUGGAAAAAAUUCAGGGAAGGAAGGCCAAGAAGAGCUAAAAAUGGUCCCAAAGAAAUGAGGAGGUACAGGCAACAAUGCAAAAGAAAAAUGUGCUAAAAAAAUCAACAUGAAACAUAAAGAUUUUCACUUUGGUUGUAGAAUAGGGAAUGAUUCAAGAUGGAAACUUAGAAUUGUUAGGUGAUAAUCUGAACCAAAAUGAAUUUACGGCUUAAAAACACUUUUCAAAGUUUCUUGUGAGAGAGACAUUAUGCUAAACUUUUGUGGCAACACAAUUAUGAUAAAGAUUCAUGUUAAUUUAAGGUACUUGUUACAAUGUUUCACUUCAAAACCAACCCAUUUACAAUAAAUUAUGAUAAUUUUUCUGUGGUGUUUUCAUAUUAUUUGCGGGAUAAACGUGCAAAGUUGGAUUUAUCAAUAGAAUACGUUUAAAAACUUCUUUCUUUGACAGAGUGUUUCAAGGUUUACAACACUUCAACUUCAUUCGACUGGUGUACAAUCUGCACUCUCUCUUAUGUAACAGUGGUGUUCCGUCUUUUUUUCCUUUCUUGAAAUGUCUUUCAUGUUCUUGAUCAAUACAGAGGAAAAAUCUUUGAGUGCUUGCUUAUUCAGCCGAUCAGUAUUAUUUACACAGCCCAAUUUUUGGUGAUAAACGUUGAAAAUAAAUUCCAGUGAUGAAAGCAUGGAAACAGUUUAUUAAAUUAACUAUAUAAUUCUCGAGAACAUAAAAACACAUACAAGAUGGAUCUAUGAUAAAAGCAGAAGGAACUGCCAUAAGAAAAUAAAAAUAAGUUGUGUGGAAGAGACGAAAUAAGAAUAAAUAGAGAGAAAUUGAAGAUAUCUUGGAUGUUCAACAAGAAUAUUCAAUAAAGAUUGACACAUGGGCCCAGGUGUAAAACAAACGAAAAACCUCUAAAAUUCGAAGCUCCACAUCACGACUAAAAUCCUGUCAAAUUUGGGAGGCACAAGUCUGUUUAAAGUGAAAGGUAAAGUUACGUAUAAUUCUUUGAAAAUUUCAUGCUUCACUAUUUCUAUGCUUUGUUUACUCAGCAAAUUCAGAGUAUUUAAAAGGAAAAAAUAGUAAAAAUAAGGCAAUUCCGCAUUGUUUUAUCUUUGAAGAGUUAUAGAAGUUACAGAAAAAAUGCAAAUAUUUACCGAUAACACAUCAAAAUAUCAAUUUUGCAUUCUAAUCUAUCGCUGAUUAUCUGCCACACAAGCCUUCUGGCGAUUAGUGUCAAUUCUCACUAAAUAUUUGUAACUCGUUUUGAGGAAAUUACUUAAAUUUAAUUGCAGCAAAAAAUGAGUUGAAAGAAAUUUUAAAAAGUUUACAGGUGGGUCAAUAAGAUACGGAAAAAAACAAACUGAUAUCUAUGAUAAAAAAGGACAUAAGUUGAAUUUUGACGAAAUUUGAAAAUAACUGUUUCCUACUCAAACAUUUAGCAGGAAAGUGUGAAUAACUUUUUUUUAUACUUCAUCACUUCACUAAUUUUCAAAAUUGAACUAAUUCCAAAUCAUUUGAUCAAACUUUCUUCCUACAUUAAUGGUCACUGGUGUUUAAAAUACCGAUAGAGUUAAUUUGUGACUUUGAGGCCAUUCAUAAAUUACGCUCCACUGAAAUUCAGAGUUUUAGAUCCCUUUCACUCUUUGUCAUACGUCUCAGCAUUACAGUUGCCACAAUAUGUAGGUCUGAGACUCCCCUACAAAAUUAUGCUGAGCUUUGUUCAAAGCAGCAUUUUAGACAUGGAAAAAAUUGGGUGAUCUCUGUGUAUAUUAUUACCAAAACUGUCUAACAAUUUCCUAACAACCGGUGCUUUGAACCAAUUAAGGGGUCUCGUUAUGUGGCGCUGGAUCAUUUUCAUUCCCCCUAAUGCACAUCGUAAUUUACCACAUUCGGUGUUGAUCAUUCGAGCGGUGCGGUCGUGUGCUCUCGCUGGAGAAAAGCUAGUGAAAAUUCGCGGAUGCUUUGACUUUCGAAUCGUGCGUAAACGGGCGAAGUCCACUCAUCGCGGUCGGACAGCGCGCGCAAGGCGCGGAUGCCGUGCAUAACGGCGCGAAAACGUAAACAAGUGCGGUGAUAUCUUAUGUCGAGUUCGCAUCAAAUAUGCAAACACAAUGUUGUUUGUUAUUGGAAAGACAGUCGGUUCGUCGGCUGUGAAAAGUGCCUUAACCGAGGAAGACUGGCUCUCCCCAGAGCGAGUCCGUUGAAAACUCAAACACCUACACCUACAGCGAUGCCAAAUGCUGAAAAUAUAAACCCGUUUCAGAAGAGUUCGAUUCUUUCAAGAUCGCCUCCUGGGGCAUCAGGGGAAAUUAAGCCCGAGAAUAAUGCUAAAGCUGGCGCACAACCCCUUCCGGACAGCGAUAGCGGUUCGAAAAAAGGGGAGGUAGAGAUCAAAGAAGCAGCACAAAAAAUUCUAACCUUAGACCCUGAUAGUGUCAAGGGAGACCCUGCACUGAAUGAAAAGACAAAAUUAUUUAUUUUGCAGUCGAUUUCUGUCGUUAAGUCACUGCAUGAUGAAAAUAUCCUUGCUAAAAAUUUUAUCCAAGAGCAAAAGGCCCUCAUGGAUAAAAUACAAAGGGAUAGUAAAGCGAUGCAGGCCGAAAUUAAGGAGCUUAAACUCAAUAAGUCGCAACCUCAAGUGGCCGGCGGCUCUAAAAAUAAGGGGAAGACAUUCAUGACUGUCAACAAGGAAAUUCCCCAACAAAACGGCGGGAAAUUUGGAGCCCUCCUGCUAGAUGCGGAAACGGAUGAUGAUUUUUCAUCAGGUGACUGGCCGAACUACAAUUCAGAUCCGGAGUAUCAAGACCAACGAAGGACGGCGGCAAAGAAAGUUAAAAAAACUACAAAGAGGAAAAGGAUGCAGGAUCAAUCCAGCCCGGACUCCAAAGACGCCUCUGGAAGUGGAGCAGACGUCCAAGCUACACAGGAUAAGUCGAAUAACUCUAAGCCUAGCGAUAAGUCUAAUACCUCUAAUCCUAAUGAUAGGCCCCCAAAAAUUCUACCACCCCCUCCCAUUAAAGUGGUAGGAAUUAAAGAUUAUCAGGAAAUUAAGCGACUUCUCAAAGAAGCGUCUGAUAAAGAAGAGUAUGUUUUAAAAUUUUUAGGUAGUGAAACCUGGAAGGUAAAUCCCUCUAACGACGAAACUUUCAGAAAAAUCUCUGAAAAAUUAAACGAAAGAGAAGUACAAUGGUAUUCUCACUCCAAUAAAAACACUCGGAACAUCAAAGUUAUAUGCAAAGGUCUCCCCCCCUCCAUACCUGAAGAUGAAAUUGUCUCGGAUCUCCAAUCAAGAAAUUUCAAAAUUAAAUCAGCUGUUUGCAUGAGAAAAAGAGUAGAGAAACAACAGAAAAAAAAUGAAAAAACAAUUAUGCCUAUGGAUACUGAUCCUGAAUCUGCUACCCCCCUUCAAACUACCCCUUUGGUAACAACAUCUGAAAAUCAAACCACAAAUGCUAAACCUAUCAAGGAAUUCGAACUCAUAAAAAUACCAGUUCAUCAACUUGAUUUUGACCAUUCAGAAUCAAUAGAAAACAUCUAUAAGAUCAAAGCAAUUGCUCAUACUAUUGUUCACAUAGAGCCAAUGAAGAUAGAUAAUAAGAUAGUUCCACAGUGCCGAAGAUGUCAGUGUUUUUCGCAUACUCAAAACUUUUGCAGGAAAAACCCACGGUGUGUCAAAUGCGCAGGCAAGCAUUUAUCUCCUGAGUGUCCUUUUAAAGGUCGGAUCUUAAAUCCAAAAUGCGUAAAUUGUGGCGCGAUCGGUCAUCCCGCGAGUUAUCGCGGAUGUCCCUUUGCGAAAGAAUUUCAAGUUGCACGAAAAAAGCAACUCCAAGCUAAGAAAAACUCCCCUGAUCAAAAAAGUUUUCCGAAACUAGGGAAAAAUAUAACAACUCAUGCUCCUCCAAAGAAAUUGGAUAGGACUUUUGCUCAAGCAUUAUCAGGCAAUACAGCUAAUCCGGCAACACAGGGCGCAGGAGACAGUUCUGCCGCUCUGAUCGGUGUCUUAUUACAAACAAUAGAAACUUUGAAUGCUCAGCUCAGAGUUCUCACCGAGAAAGUGAGUAAACUUGAAGCUAGCCAGAAAAGAUAAAUAAAGAAAUGAAUGACUUUUUUAAAUUGAAUUGUGAUUCAUUGACUAAUCAGAAUUUCUUAAUGUCUCAACAGGAAAAUUAUCCAGAAAUCAAUUUCGAUGAUGUUAAAGAGCUACGAGCAAAGACUAAUUGCAAGUCAUUAAACAUUAUGGCAUGGAAUUGCGGAGGACUGACCAGGGUGAAGGCCGAGGAAUUCAACGUCACGCUAAGGGAUUUCAAUGUGGAUAUAGCCCUUCUGUCUGAGACCUGGUUCACCAGGUCAGAUUUUAAA
rnacentral:lncRNA from 1 species